AUACGGAGGGUGCGAGCGUUGUCCGGAUUUAUUGGGUUUAAAGGGUGCGUAGGCUGGGAGGUAAGUCAGCGGUGAAAAGCACACGCUUAACGGGUGUCUUGCCGCAGAUACUACUUUUCUUGGAUGAGGAGGAGGUCACUGGAACGGAUGGUGUAGCGGUGAAAUGCAUAGAUAUCAUCCAGAACACCGAUUGCGAAGGCAGGUGACUGUACCUUAAUCGACGCUGAGGCACGAAAGCGUGGGGAGCGAACAGGAUUAGAUACCCUGGUAGUCCACGCCGUAAACGAUGAGGACUAGCUGUUGGGCCUAUAGGGUUCAGUGGCAAAGGGAAACCGUUAAGUCCUCCACCUGGGGAGUACGCCGGCAACGGUGAA
rnacentral:rRNA from 1 species